UGACUACAGGGUGCACCCAUCCUGUCAAGACAACUUUCCAAGCCUUGUUAUCAAGGGAUUUUAAAAACGCUACCAUUCUAGGUUUCCAAUAGUCAUAGUUAGAACCAUCCAGGAUUGGUGGCCUAUGAACAGAUCCUCCAUCUCUUUCCAUUGUACCAGAAAGUAUUGCCCCUAGAUCUCACCCAGAACCAGAGCAGGAUGCCUACUCUGAUACCAAUUGAAAUUCUGGUAUCAGAUAUAAGAUGUCGAAGGUAAUGUCACGACACUGAUAUCUGGUUAUAAACAAUGGAUAAACAGAAACAGAAUGGGAAAGCAAAUAACACAAGCAAU
rnacentral:lncRNA from 1 species